rnacentral:rRNA from 1 species
GAUGAACGCUGGCGGCGUGCCUAAUACAUGCAAGUCGAGCGAACAGACGAGAGUGCUUGCACUCUCUGACGUUAGCGGCGGACGGGUGAGUAACACGUGGGUAACCUACCUAUAAGGCUGGGAUAACUUCGGGAAACCGGAGCUAAUACCGGAUAAUAUUUAGCUUCGCAUGAAGCAAUAGUGAAAGACGGUUCUGCUGUCACUUAUAGAUGGACCCGCGGUGUAUUAGCUAGUUGGUGAGGUAACGGCUCACCAAGGCAACGAUACAUAGCCGACCUGAGAGGGUGAUCGGCCACACUGGGACUGAGACACGGCCCAGACUCCUACGGGAGGCAGCAGUAGGGAAUCUUCCGCAAUGGACGAAAGUCUGACGGAGCAAUGCAGCGUGAGUGAAGAAGGUUUUCGGAUCGUAAAACUCUGUUGUAAGGGAAGAACAAGUACGUUAGUAACUGAACGUACCUUGACGGUACCUUACCAGAAAGCCACGGCUAACUACGUG